AGGCAGUCGGCGGUCCGCCGCCGGGAGCCCGGUCUCCCGGAGGAACCUCCCGACUCCCAGCCCUUUAAAAGGGCAACGCCGCCCGGCGAAACCAAAAGCCGGGGCACCGGAGGAGUAAUCCUCCGGUGACCACAACCGCAACAGAGAGCAGACCCGCCAGCGGCCCCGAAAGGGGUGCGGGUAAGGGGUGAAACGGUGGGGUAAGAGCCCACCAGCUGUCGCAGCAAUGCGGCAGGCUGGGCGAGUGUGCGGCGGGGAGCAAGGCCGGAGGGCCUGGCCCGGACCAAAAGUCCGGUUAGGUCCGGUCGCAGUGGCAACGGCAAAGGUGGGUAACACCCACCAAGCCAGGAGCCACCAGUGAGACGAAUGGCGGACUAAAACAGAAUCGGGGGUACGGCCACUGCCUUAAU
rnacentral:RNase_P_RNA from 1 species